ACGCACGCUGGCGGCGUGCUUAACCCAUGCCAGUCGAACGGAAAGGCCCUGCUUUUGUGGGGUGCUCGAGUGGCGAACGGGUGAGUAACACGUGAGUAACCUGCCCUUGACUUUGGGAUAACUUCAGGAAACUGGGGCUAAUACCGGAUAGGAGCUCCUGCUGCAUGGUGGGGGUUGGAAAGUUUCGGCGGUUGGGGAUGGACUCGCGGCUUAUCAGCUUGUUGGUGGGGUAGUGGCUUACCAAGGCUUUGACGGGUAGCCGGCCUGGGAGGGUGACCGGCCACAUUGGGACUGAGAUACGGCCCAGACUCCUACGGGAGGCAGCAGUGGGGAAUAUUGCACAAUGGGCGGAAGCCUGAUGCAGCAACGCCGCGUGCGGGAUGACGGCCUUCGGGUUGUAAACCGCUUUCGCCUGUGACGAAGCGUGAGUGACGGUAAUGGGUAAAGAAGCACCGGCUAACUACGUG
rnacentral:rRNA from 1 species